rnacentral:rRNA from 1 species
AUUGAACGCUGGCGGCAUGCUUUACACAUGCAAGUCGAACGGUAACAGGCCGCAAGGUGCUGACGAGUGGCGAACGGGUGAGUAAUGCAUCGGAACGUGCCCAGUCGUGGGGGAUAACUACUCGAAAGAGUAGCUAAUACCGCAUACGAUCUAUGGAUGAAAGCGGGGGACCGUAAGGCCUCGCGCGAUUGGAGCGGCCGAUGUCAGAUUAGGUAGUUGGUGGGGUAAAGGCUCACCAAGCCAACGAUCUGUAGCUGGUCUGAGAGGACAACCAGCCACACUGGGACUGAGACACGGCCCAGACUCCUACGGGGGGCAGCAGUGGGGAAUUUUGGACAAUGGGCGCAAGCCUGAUCCAGCAAUGCCGCGUGCAGGAAGAAGGCCUUCGGGUUGUAAAAUGCUUUUGUACGGAACGAAACGGCUCUGGUUAAUACCCGGGGCUAAUGACGGUACCGUAAGAAUAAGCACCGGCUAACUACGUG